GGGAAAGAUCUGAUGAAGAUCUCCCAGAUCCCUAAGCCUGAGGGAAAUCUAGUGGAGUUUAUACACAAGUCUAUGGCCACACUCGCCAGGGGACAAGAGACGCUCGGAGAGUUGGCCUUCUUCUUGUCUCAGCAGGCUCUCAAGUCUGUCGCACUGGACAGAAAAGUUCUCGAUCUGGACAAAAAAAUUAAUCUGAUCAAGUUGAUGGUCCGUGGGGCUUUCACUCCGGGGUAAGUUUGUUCACCAUAAUUUGUUUUCAUCUGGUAACCAGAUAUACAUGUAUUUUACUUUUUAAUGAUAGAUAUUGGUGAAAAGAAAUUCAAGCAAAGUACAGGUAUUUUCAUCUGGUUAAAACUCGUCGUGUCUCCAUGUUUCUGGAGAUACAGUGUAAAUGUAGGUCUUGUAUGUUAGUGUUUUAGCGCCAAUCAAAUGGCACCUUGCACGGUAUGCUUCCCAAGAAGUUGAGAUUGUUUCAGAAGGCUAUCAGGUCUGCUGGGGUAAUAAUAUAGAUUGUAAAGCGCAUAGAGCUUGCUUUUGAGCUGGAAUUUGCGCUCUACAAAUGCUAUCUAAUAUUACUAAAUACAAUUAUGGUCUACAGUAAUGAUGAUGAGAAGGAAGAAUAGAGGG